rnacentral:misc_RNA from 1 species
AUAAUAUAUAGCCUUAUCAUUUGCAAUGAUAAAUGUAAUCAGUACAUAAGCCAUCAUCCCAGAUAACCUCUCAGAAUUUAUUUCCUCCCUUGAAGGUAAUGCCAAGAAAAUUAAGGAUCAUUAAACCCAUAUAACUAGUUCUGUGUUCUUUAGAAAAGGGAAAAAGAAAUUGCCUCAGCAAACACUAAUGACAACCUAACAAAUGUGUUGGUACUUCACAUUAUUAAACCUAUUUCUCUGCUACAUUACAUCAACCUUUGAAUUUUCUCAUGUAACUAAAAAUGGGGAAGGCACAAAUCCAAUGAAAGAAAAUGUAAAUGAAGUUAAAAAUAAAAAAUAAAAAA